rnacentral:rRNA from 1 species
AUUGAACGCUAGCGGGAUGCCUUACACAUGCAAGUCGAACGGAGUGGCGAACGGGUGAGUAAUGUAUCGGAACGUGCCCAGUAGCGGGGGAUAACUACGCGAAAGGGUAGCUAAUACCGCAUACUAUUGGAGCGGCCUAUAUCGGAUUAGCUAGUUGGUGGGGUAACGGCCCACCAAGGCGACGAUCCGUAGCUGGUCUGAGAGGACGAUCAGCCACACUGGGACUGAGACACGGCCCAGACUCCUACGGGAGGCAGCAGUGGGGAAUAUUGGACAAUGGGGGAAACCCUGAUCCAGCCAUGCCGCGUGUGCGAAGAAGGCCUUCGGGUUGUAAAGCACUUUAAGCAGGGAGGCGGUACCAGCAGAAUAAGCACCGGCUAACUACGUGCCAGCAGCCGCGGUAAUAC